AUUGAACGCUGGCGGCAUGCUUUACACAUGCAAGUCGAACGGUAACAGGCCUUCGGGUGCUGACGAGUGGCGAACGGGUGAGUAAUGCAUCGGAACGUACCCAGAGGUGGGGGAUAACGCAGCGAAAGCUGUGCUAAUACCGCAUGUGAUCUGAGGAUGAAAGCGGGGGACCGAGCAGCAAUGUUUGGCCUCGCGCCUUUGGAGCGGCCGAUGUCGGAUUAGCUAGUUGUUGGGGUAAAGGCCUACCAAGGCGACGAUCCGUAGCUGGUCUGAGAGGACGACCAGCCACACUGGGACUGAGACACGGCCCAGACUCCUACGGGAGGCAGCAGUGGGGAAUUUUGGACAAUGGGCGCAAGCCUGAUCCAGCAAUGCCGCGUGCGGGAAGAAGGCCUUCGGGUUGUAAACCGCUUUUGGCAGGAACGAAGCGGUGUCCGCUAAUACCGGGCGCUAAUGACGGUACCUGCAGAAUAAGCACCGGCUAACUACGUG
rnacentral:rRNA from 1 species